GCCGCCGACGCGAAGCCCCCAGCGCUGACGACGCUGCAGAACGUCCCUGACAGGCUCCUGGAGCCGAUCCUCGUGCGCCUCAUGUCGUCGCCUCUCUGCCUCGUCCGCGCGGCGGCCACCUGCAACUGCAAGCGGUGGCGCCGGAUCAUGGGCCGCUCAUGGUUCUUCUUCACCGAGCUCCACAAAGCUCGUUCACGGGCCCCAUACCCACGCCCCGUCGCAGGAAACUACUACAACCGUGUGUCCCCUCUGGGCGGCCGGGAGACCGUCUUCGUUCCGACGGCGCUGACGGCGCAGCACGGCGUCCAGAGCCGCCGCUUCUCCCUCGACUUCCUCCCCGGUGGCAGCAGAAAAUGGGAGAUCGUGGACAGCGGCGGCAGCCUCGUCCUCCUCGCCAAGAAGAAGAAGAGCGGGUGGAUGCGCCGCUGCUUCCCUGACCUCCUGGUGUGCGAGCCGGCCACGCGGCGCUACCAGCUGAUCCCACGCAUGGAGGAGAUGAAACGUCAUCGCUGCCUCGGCUCGUACCUCGUCGGCACCGAGAGGCGCCAUGAGUUCAAGCCCGAUAUCGGCGUGCAUGUCGUCGACAGCAUGGAAACAUUCAAGGUGGUCUGUGUGGUCUAUCAACAAUACGACGGGGUGUGUGACGAAAUUGGCAGCGCGAGGGCAUGCUUCUUCGCCCGGGACAGCAAGAGCCAGGCGCGGAGGGGGAGACAUGAGACGCACAGCUGGUACGCCGAGCAGAGCCGCAACCUCGGUCAUAACUUCUGCCUCCAUGGCACCGAGUUGUUGCAUUUCCUCGGUCACGCUGGAUACUCCUUGUUCUGGAGCAUCGAAGGCCAGAAGGAGCGCAUGCUGACUUACGGCCCCCGCUGGUUGCCACACGGCUUCAAAGGGACGGCCCUGCGAGUCAUGGACGAUAGUACCCGCCAGAACAUUCGAUUUGUUUGCUUGCAGGGGAACACCCUCCAGAUUUUUGUGAGACCAACGAUCACAUACUUAGGUAAUGCGUGGGUGCUCCACAAGAGCCUCGAGUUGAUGGAGGCAACGCGUGGGCUGGAAGGGUAUAAAGGGGAGUACUUUGAGGACUCUUUGAAGGUUGUUGUCACGAGCCCGAAGUCCGUCGUUCUCGCUCCGGCAAAUGGAACAUGGCUAUUCUCCGUCGACCUUGAUACCAUGGAGGUCGCGAAACGCAACCACAAGACAACCGAUCAUUUGGGCCUGCGAGAUUAUCCGUGCGAGCUGCCCUGGCCACCU
rnacentral:rRNA from 1 species